rnacentral:tRNA from 1 species
UGAUUAGCUCAGCUGGGAGAGCAUCGCCCUUACAAGGCGAGGGUCACUGGUUCAAGUCCAGUAUUAAGUGU